AUGUGAGUCAUCCCUGCUUUGUAACCCAGAAAAGCAGUCAAUCUGCAAGGUUUUGUUGGAUCAUCUUUGGGAAAUGCCUUCACUUUUCCUCUGUGGCGGGAGGCUCUCUUUCUAGGAAGAAAUCCCAAAGAGCCAUGUCGGGGGUGUUCAAAUUUGCGAUGAGACAUGCUUCAACCUCAGGAUAACAAUUACGGAAAUUGGACGGUAGUACCUCCAGAUGCGAAGAUCACAAUCAACGCA
rnacentral:misc_RNA from 1 species